UCCGGUUUGUCACCGGCAGUCCCAUUAGAGUGCUCAACUGAAUGUGGCAACUAAUGGCAAGGGUUGCGCUCGUUGCGGGACUUAACCCAACAUCUCACGACACGAGCUGACGACAGCCAUGCAGCACCUGUGUUACGGCUCCCUUUCGGGCACCUCCACAUCUCUGUGAAGUUCCGUACAUGUCAAGGGUAGGUAAGGUUUUUCGCGUUGCAUCGAAUUAAACCACAUCAUCCACCGCUUGUGCGGGUCCCCGUCAAUUCCUUUGAGUUUUAAUCUUGCGACCGUACUCCCCAGGCGGGGCACUUAAUGCGUUAGCUGCGGCACCCAGGGGGACUGCCGGCGUUAAGCCGGAGGAAGGUGGGGAU
rnacentral:misc_RNA from 1 species